rnacentral:tRNA from 1 species
GCGGUCGUGGCGGAAUGGCAGACGCGCUAGACUUAGGAUCUAGUCCCGCGAGGGGUGUGGGUUCAACUCCCACCGACCGCA